rnacentral:rRNA from 1 species
UUUAUUGGAGAGUUUGAUCCUGGCUCAGGAUGAACGCUGGCGGCGUGCCUAAUACAUGCAAGUCGAGCGAAUGGAUUAAGAGCUUGCUCUUAUGAAGUUAGCGGCGGACGGGUGAGUAACACGUGGGUAACCUGCCCAUAAGACUGGGAUAACUCCGGGAAACCGGGGCUAAUACCGGAUAACAUUUUGAACUGCAUGGUUCGAAAUUGAAAGGCGGCUUCGGCUGUCACUUAUGGAUGGACCCGCGUCGCAUUAGCUAGUUGGUGAGGUAACGGCUCACCAAGGCAACGAUGCGUAGCCGACCUGAGAGGGUGAUCGGCCACACUGGGACUGAGACACGGCCCAGACUCCUACGGGAGGCAGCAGUAGGGAAUCUUCCGCAAUGGAC